UUGAUUUUGAUAAUUAUCCAUCAUUGCAGUCUCUCUUGAGUGACCGUGACAAACUCUGCCAGCUAUUAGAACAACAUCCAAAGUUGAUGCAGAUGCUUCAGGAGAGGUUGGGCCAACUCUAAGUGGGAUCAGUGGUAUCAUGGCUACGCUCUGACUUCUUUCUUCGCUGCCUGUAGAAUAUGGAACUCAACAUGGCCAUUAUUGUUUGCGAGCUGCUAAAUGCAAUUGAAGAAGUUUUGUAGAAACUGCAGUUGCUCUCUUGUACAGUGAAUGUUGUAUUAAUGGCUCAAUCAAUGUUUAUAAACCUGUAUGUCAUUGUACAUUAUUUAGUCAAGUUAGCUUUUAGAACUUCUAAUCGCUGGAAGGUGUACAAGUAAAUUUUGUUGCGGCUAGCAUUGCUCCAGUUCUCUGAGUUUGCAUUCAUCACUUGUCUCUUUUCUU